rfam:Schistosoma rodhaini strain Burundi genome assembly, scaffold: SROB_scaffold0021740
AUCCAGCUGAUGGGUCCCAAAUAGGAAGAAACAUGCGUCAAACUGGAU